GUGCACCCUUAGGCAGCAUGUAUACUCAAGCCAAAAUGAUGCAGAGAAGAUCAGCAUGACCUCUGUGAAGGAUGACACACAAACUCAUGAAACGUUCCAUAUUUUU